UAAUUGGCUUGGCGGGAACCAGGUGCGGCGCGGAGGAGGCGAAGGGCCGCUCCGGAGUCCCGCCGCCCGCUCCUCCACCCUCCUGCUACUGACGUAGUUUAACGUUUGAGAUUCCUUUUUGCUGCACAUCAUCACGGACAACAUUAGUAACUACAAUGUGAGCGAAGACGACACGGAGACGGACUGAACAAAGCGACCUGCACUGAGACGCCUUGGGCUGAUCCCUUGGUCUGAUGGCUCCCAGCAGGAGGGGAGGACUCAGGAUGCAGCAUAAUAGGAUGCUGUAGUCACAGGACUGCUUUGGAUAAAGUGCAUAUGUGUCAGUCACAUAUUUGUUUUUUAACCUCAGCCAAUAAAAUAUAAAUUUUCUCAUCAAUCAUGAAUACGGUUUGUGCAUAAAAUUAUAAGUAACAUUGUAUUUUGUGUAUUCCUCCUUCUUAUGCUGUGUUUUUAUGUAACCGGAGUCAAAUCCACGUAUGCAUAAUCGUACAUGACGAA